GCUCCGGCGACCUAGUGGUUAGAGCACCCGCCUAUGAUGCAGGAGGUCAUGGGUUCGAUCCCCGCUCGAGUCA